rnacentral:misc_RNA from 1 species
GGGGGAAAUUCCAACCUAAGUUCUAACCUUGGCUAUGGGAGAUUGAGUCCUUCAUAUAGUGGAAUUUCAGGAAGGUUUGAUAGCCCUAUUGGAUACAACGGAGUCAAUGGUGGAAAUAGUUCUGCCUUAAAUUCAACAGCUCGAACUUUGUGGAGCAAUGGAAGUAUUAAUCAUGCUUCAAACUCCACAAAGUCUAGUACUUUUAUGGGCACUGGAACUGGGAAUUCAAGAAUCGGUUCUUUUGGCAGUGUUGGAGGACUCUGGGAUUCCUCAGCUAAUUCGGGACAAGGUGGCAGUGCUGGCUCUGCCUAUAGCAGUGGCAAUCUUAGCUACAAUA